UGUGGAUCAAUGAUGUUACUUAAAUCUGCGUUAUCUUUCUGCAACUUCUCUCGACCUCGAGGGAUUUGAAGAUAAUUUCAAGUUACUGAGAUCUUAU